GUGAAGUUAGCGCAUUUCCCUCCAAAACUGUGGGUGCCUGUAUAAAUGCUUGAGGGACUUUUCACUCUGGUACUAGCUAGCUAGCUGACUUUAAAGUUGUUGGAGAUGCAGUGCAAGGUUUGGUAAACAUGUUAGCAGCGGCUCAGCUGCCUUUAUUAAGGGCAAUCAGCAGCAUCAGAGCUGAACUUAGUGCACACACAGAGGAGCAUCUCCUCAUUUCAUCGCUGCUAGACUGCAAACAGACUGAACUGGACCAGAGCAUCGACAAGUUCAAUGCUCCAGAGGAGGAGUUCAAUAAGGAGCUGUCUGAGAGGGAGAAUAAGGAGAAGCUGUGCCUGGGGAGAAAACAUGUUCUGAUGAUGAAUGCCAGCAAAGCAGGAGGAGCUAAAGCUUCUCAUUAUUGAAAACAUCCAAGUUCAGGAGCUCUCCAUU